rnacentral:tRNA from 1 species
CAUUAGAUGACUGAAAGAAAGUAAUGGUCUCUUAAACCAACCCAUGGUAAUUAUCAACUACCUCUAAUG